UACGGAAGGCAGCAGUGGGGAAUAUUGCACAAUGGGCGCAAGCCUGAUGCAGCCAUGCCGCGUGUAUGAAGAAGGCCUUCGGGUUGUAAAGUACUUUCAGUCGUGAGGAAGGUGUUAAGGUUAAUAACCUUAGCAAUUGACGUUAGCGACAGAAGAAGCACCGGCUAACUCCGUGCCAGCAGCCGCGGUAAUACGGAGGGUGCGAGCGUUAAUCGGAAUUACUGGGCGUAAAGGGCACGCAGGCGGUUAAUUAAGUUGGAUGUGAAAUCCCCGGGCUUAACCUGGGAAUGGCAUUCAAGACUGGUUAGCUAGAGUCUUGUAGAGGGGGUAGAAUUCCAUGUGUAGCGGUGAAAUGCGUAGAGAUGUGGAGGAAUACCGGGUGGCGAAGGCGGCCCCUGGGACAAAGACUGACGCUCAUGUGCGAAAAGCGUGGGGAGCAAAACAGGGAUUAGAUACC
rnacentral:rRNA from 1 species